GGCUCUCUGCUUACAUAAAUAUAGGGAGUCGAGCCUGCCCAGUGAAUUUUUAAACGGCCGCGGUACUCUGACCGUGCAAAGGUAGCAUAAUCAUUUGCCUUAUAAUUGAAGGCUAGUAUGAAUGGUUUGACGAGAACAAUACUGUCUCCUUUUUAUUUUCAAGAACUUAACUUUUAGGUGAAGAGGCCUAAAUUUUAUUGAAGGACAAGAAGACCCUAUCGAGCUUAAAAGACAUUAUAGAAGUUUAUAUAUUUUUAAAUAAAUUUUCUAUUGAGCUUUUUAGUUGGGGCGACUAAGGAACAAAAAAAGCUUCUUGCUGAUAAUAAGCAGUCAUGUUUAGAUCCGAUAAUAAUCGAUCAAAGAAAUUAGUUACCGUAGGGAUAACAGCAUAAUCUCUCUUGAGAGACCUAAUCGAAAGAGGGGGUUGUGACCUCGAUGUUGGACUAGAAUAUCCUAAAGAUGCAGAAGUCUUUGAGGGUCGGUCUGUUCGACCGUUAAAAUUCU
rnacentral:rRNA from 1 species